UACGGAGAGUUUGAUCCUGGCUCAGGAUGAACGCUGGCGGUAUGCCUUACACAUGCAAGUCGUACGAGAGUUUUUAACUCUAGUGGCGGACGGGUGAGUAACACGUAAGAAUUUACCUUUAGGAGGGGGACAACAACUGGAAACGGUUGCUAAUACCCCAUAUGCUUUCGAGUGAAACGGAUUUCCGCCUAAAGAGAAGCUUGCGGCUGAUUAGCUUGUUGGUGAGGUAAUGGCUCACCAAGGCGACGAUCAGUAGCUGGUCUGAGAGGAUGAUCAGCCACACUGGAACUGAGACACGGUCCAGACUCCUACGGGAGGCAGCAGCGG
rnacentral:rRNA from 1 species